UUUAAUAAUUCACGCAAAAAACAUGAUUCACACAUGCGUAGACAAUUUCACAUGCAUGAAAUCUAAUUCACAUACACAAAAAUAUAUAUAUUCGCAAAAAAACGAUGUACAUACACAAAAUAAAAAUUCAUAUUCAUAAAAUACGUUUCACAAAAGAAAAAAACAAUUCACAAAUGUAGAACUGUGUACGAAAAGUUUUAAAUUGUGAGUUUAUCAUGACUGUGAAUGUACGAAUCGUCUUUUUCGUGUGUGAAUUGCUUUGAAUUCGUGUGUGUGUUUUUUGAGACUUUGGUGGCAGCGUGCUUCUCCAACGUGGGUCACUCGUACUCUUUAGCCAAUCAGAUGCAAGCUUACCAUUCAACCAAUCAUAACCCGGCAAGAGCGCAGCACUCAAGGAGCUUAGCAUUGCACACCUUUUGCGCAAUCAACUGAAAUGAAGCUUCACGUCAUCAACCAAGCAUGGCGAACGAAGUGCGGGAUAUACGUAGGUUCUGUCUGCAAGACCCAAAGAAAGGAAGCUUGCUGAUGUAUUAAGGAGUACCUUUUAAAAGAGUGUCACCUGUAAGCUGCCUGACCUCACAGUCCUCCAAGUAGCAGAGGCGUUUAAGGACCUUGCCAGUGCUGUAGCCCCUUCGGUCACCACUAUCAGGAUGUCACAUGUCAAUUCUUUGGUGGAUUUUGGCUUUGGCAGAGUUUAGUAUGGAAGUGUGCCGUCAUACCAGCAGCAACAACACACAACCUUAAUCGUUAUCAAGAUGCCCCAUAACUACAACCUCUGCAACUAUUUGGCUACAGCCUUGACACAUCUGUUUGCUUGAUAGUUAUUUAUAUUUACAUGUUUACAUUUCUGAAGUUAAGGUAGUUAUUUACAGUAUAUUACAUACAUUACUGCAAUGUUAAUGUUCAAAGUCAUUUAGUUUUACAUUCAUGCAGUGCAUGCAACACUGUAUAAAAGUUAUUUACAGUAUAUUUAAAUACAUUACUGCAUUGUAAAUGUUCAAAGCCACAUGUUUACAUUCCUGCAGUGCAUGCAACAC